GAAAGUUACUAAGAGCGUACGGGGGAUGCCCUGGCUCUCAGAGGCGAAGAAGGACGUGAUAAGCUGCGAUAAGCUCCGGGGAGGUGCAAAUAACCCGUGAUCCGGAGAUUUCCGAAUGGGACAACCCAUCUGGAGCGAUCCAGAUACCCGCGCAAUGCGGGGGCAAACCCGGGGAACUGAAACAUCUAAGUACCCGGAGGAGGAGAAAACAAACGUGAUUCCCCAAGUAGCGGCGAGCGAACGGGGAGGAGCCCAAACCGGCGGUGUUACGGCACGGCCGGGGUAGUAGGACUCCGAUGUCGUCGAAGCAUGCGAACCGGAACGGUCUGGGAAGGCCGUCCAGAGAGGGUGAGAGGCCCGUACGGGUAAGCAGGCGAGACGUAGGAGGAUCCUGAGUAGGGCGGGACCGGAGGAAUCCUGUCUGAAGCAGGCGGCACCAUCCGCCAAGGCUAAAUACUCCUGAGAGACCGAUAGCGAACAAGUACUGUGAAGGAAAGGUGAAAAGAACCCCGAACAGGGGAGUGAAAUAGAACCUGAAACCGUGCGCUUACAAGCGGUCGGAGCCCCUUAGUGGGGUGACGGCGUGCCUUUUGCAUAAUGAGCCUACGAGUUGCCGUGUCCGGCGAGGUUAAGGGCCAGGAGGCCCGGAGCCGAAGCGAAAGCGAGUCUGAAUAGGGCGCAGAGUCGGAUGAGGCAGACGCGAAACUUAGUGAUCUACACACGGCCAGGCUGAAGUGGCGCUAAACCGCCAUGGAGGGCCGAACGGGUAAACGUUGAAAAGUUUUCCGAUGAGCUGCGUGUAGGAGUGAAAGGCCAAUCAAACUGAGAGAUAGCUCGUACUCUCCGAAAUGCCUUUAGGGGCAGCCUCGGUGUUUAGUAUUCCAGAGGUAAAGCUACUGAUUGGAUGCGGGGGUUUCACCGCCUACCAAAUCCUGACAAACUCUGAAUGCUGGAAUAUGUCGCCGGGAGUGAGGCCGCGGGUGCUAACGUCCACGGCCGAGAGGGGAACAACCCAGACCAUCGGCUAAGGUCCCGAAAUGCAUGCUAAGUUGUAAGAACGAGGUUCCGCUGCACAGACAGCUAGGAUGUUGGCUUGGAAGCAGCCAUUCAUUCAAAGAGUGCGUAACAGCUCACUAGUAGAGUGGCGGGGCAUGGAUAAUAAUCGGGCAUUAAGCAUGCUACCGAAGCUGUGGGAUAUGAAAUAUCGGUAGGAGAGCAUUCCAAGUGCGGCGAAGGUGCGCCGCGAGACGUGCUGGAGCGCUUGGAAGAGCAGAUGUAGGCAUAAGUAACGAUAAGGAGGGCGAGAAACCCUCCCACCGAAAGACCAAGGUUUCCCGGCCAACGCUAAUCGGACCGGGGUAAGUCGGGGCCUAAGGGGCAGCCAGUUUAAUUGGCGGACCCGAAUGGACAGACGGUUAAUAUUCCGUCACCGGCUUGGGGAACGAAGUGUGGACGCAGAUGUGACAGGCGCGCGCGCUGACGGAAUAGCGCGUUGAAGGGUGUAGAGUUUUCCCGGGAGGCAAAUCCCCCGGGGGUAUCGAACCUGAUAGUACCGCGAACCUUCGGGGGAGCGGAUAGCCGCCGUAACCAUGCUGCCGAGAAAAAGCGCUAAGUACAUGCCCAAGUUGCCCGUACUGCAAACCGACACAGGUGGUCGCGAAGAGAAUUCUAAGGUGCUCGAGUGAUUCAUGGCUAAGGAACUAGGCAAAAUUGUCCUGUAACUUCGGGAGAAAGGACCCCUCGCGAGAGGGCGCAGAGAAUCGGCCCAGGCGACUGUUUACCAAAAACACAUGGCUUUGCGAAAUGGAAACAUGAAGUAUAAGGCCUGACACCUGCCCGGUGCCGGAAGGUUAAGAGGAGAUGUCAUCGCAAGAGAAGCAUUGAAUUGAAGCCCCGGUAAACGGCGGCCGUAACUAUAACGGUCCUAAGGUAGCGAAAUUCCUUGUCGGGUAAGUUCCGACC
rnacentral:rRNA from 1 species